rnacentral:rRNA from 1 species
CCUACGGGAGGCAGCAGUAGGGAAUCUUCCACAAUGGGCGAAAGCCUGAUGGAGCAACGCCGCGUGAGUGAUGAAGGCCUUCGGGUUGUAAAACUCUGUCAUUCGGGACGAACCGGAGUCUGAGGAAAUGCAGACUCUCUGACGGUACCGGAGGAGGAAGCCCCGGCUAACUACGUGCCAGCAGCCGCGGUAAUACGUAGGGGGCAAGCGUUGUCCGGAUUCACUGGGCGUAAAGCGCGCGCAGGCGGUGAUGUAAGUCUGAGGUGAAAACCCGAAGCUCAACUUCGGGACUGCCUUGGAUACUGCGUCACUUGAGGAUAGGAGAGGCAAGGGGAAUUCCACGUGUAGCGGUGAAAUGCGUAGAGAUGUGGAGGAACACCUGUGGCGAAGGCGCCUUGCUGGCCUAUUUCUGACGCUGAGGCGCGAAAGCGUGGGGAGCAAACAGGAUUAGAUACCCUGGUAGUCCACGCUGUAAACGAUGAGUGCUAGGUGUAGGUGGGCUCAUACCCAUCUGUGCCGAAGCUAACGCAUUAAGCACUCCGCCUGGGGAGUACGGUCGCAAGACUGAAACUCAAAGGAAUUGACGG